rnacentral:rRNA from 1 species
UGACCUCAAAUCAGGUAGGACUACCCGCUGAACUUAAGCAUAUCAAUAAGCGGAGGAAAAGAAACUAACAAGGAUUCCCUUAGUAGCGGCGAGCGAAGCGGGAUGAGCUCAAAUUUGAAAUCUGGCGUCUUUCAGGCGUCCGAGUUGUAAUCUAUAGAAGCGUUUUCUGUGCUGGACCGUGUCCAAGUCCCUUGGAACAGGGUAUCAAAGAGGGUGAGAAUCCCGUACUUGACACGACCACCAGUGCUCUGUGAUACGUUUUCUACGAGUCGAGUUGUUUGGGAAUGCAGCUCAAAAUGGGUGGUAAAUUCCAUCUAAAGCUAAAUAUUGGCGAGAGACCGAUAGCAAACAAGUACCGUGAGGGAAAGAUGAAAAGCACUUUGGAAAGAGAGUUAAACAGUACGUGAAAUUGUUGAAAGGGAAACGAUUGAAGUCAGUCGUGUCUAUUGGUUUCAGCCGGUUCUGCCGGUGUACUACCAUUAGACGGGUCAACAUCAGUUUUAGACGGCGGAUAAAAGCAGUUAGAAUGUAGCACCUCCGGGUGUGUUAUAGCUUCCUGUUGCAUACGCUGUCCGAGACUGAGGAAUGCAGCUCGCCUUCACAGGCCGGGGGUUCGCCCCACGUCCGAGCUUAGGAUGUUGACAUAAUGGCUUUAAACGACCCGUCUUGAACCACGGACC